rnacentral:lncRNA from 1 species
CUUGGUAAUACAGGUGGGUUUCUCAUUUUCCCACUAUUUGGAAAUCAUCUUCCCCUUGACUUCUAGGUGAC